AUUGAACGCUGGCGGCAGGCCUAACACAUGCAAGUCGAGCGGAGCGGGGGACGGGUGAGUAAGGCCUAGGAAUGUGCCUGGUCGUGGGGGAUGACGUCCGGAAACGGGCGCUAAUACCGCAUCCUAUCAGAUGAGCCUAGGGUGGAUUAGCUAGUUGGUGGGGUAAAGGCCUACCAAGGCGACGAUCCGUACCUGGUCUGAGAGGAGGAUCAGUCACACUGGAACGGAGACACGGUCCAGACUCCUACGGGAGGCAGCAGUGGGGAAUAUUGGACAAUGGGCGAAAGCCUGAUCCAGCCAUGCCGCGUGUGUGAAGAAGGUCUUCGGAUUGUAAAGCACUUUAAGUUGGGAGGCGUUACCAACAGAAUAAGCACCGGCUAACUCCGUGCCAGCAGCCGCGGUAAUAC
rnacentral:rRNA from 1 species